ACUGUUAAAUAGGCAGAGCUAAGACUUAGGGGACUGGCAGACUAUUGCAAAAAGGGCACGGGGCAGAGGGACUAUGUUGUGAGCCUGCGAAAGAAGUUUGUGUGGGGACUGUGGGCAGUGAACGCGUUGGGAACAAUAUGGAAAACUGGGAGCCGCCUUGGAAUCUACAGGGCCGGACUUCAAUCCAACAGGACCCACUCGAGCCAUCCACACUUGCCCCAGCCUCCUCCAAAACAGCACACUUUCCGGCUGAAGAAAAGAAGAAUGGUAUUCACGCAGUUCCCAUUUUACAGAUGAAAACAAGAGGACUUUUUCUGUGAAGUCAAGAAAGUGGUUACAAUGGUACUUUCAGCCUGUCCGAAUUAUGUAUUGCCCCUCCCCUUUUUAUUAAUAACAUUGAAGUGUGAUGGGACAACCACUGAAGCCGUCAGUUGAAACCUGCUGGGACUUUUUAGCCAUUCUCUUCAACAUAAAGAAUGGGUGUUUUUGGAGGGGGUGAGAGGAAUGGGGAAAUGUUGUCAAAGAGUACAAUGUUUUAGUUGAGACAGGAAGAAUAUAUUUUGUUGAGAUCUACAGCACAGCAUGGUGACUGUAGUUAACAAUGAAGUAUUGUGUAUUUCCAAAUUGCUAAGACAAUAAAUUUCAAAUGUUCUCACCACAAAAAAGAUAGGUUUUGAGGUGAUGAAUCUA
rnacentral:lncRNA from 1 species